rnacentral:lncRNA from 1 species
GCCAUCUCUGCGGCAGUGUCCCUGCCAGCCACAACCAGCUUGGGGCACUGCCGGUGUCCCAUCGCCACCGGGCAGCCUACGCUUUUCCAGGCCGUGCCGAUUCCGAUUCGGACACAGCUGUCAGCUGCGUUCCUCGUACCCACCCGUUCUCUCCAUCGGUGCCGGGCUCAGCGAGACGCCGGCGAGAAGGAAGAGGAGGCGAGAGGUGAACUGAGUUUGAUCCUGCGGCGGCUACAACAGCAACUCCAGAGCCGAGAGACUGCGUCCCGGGACGGACUGCCUUUUCUUAAUUGAUACAAUAGCCCAGCUCGGGUUUUCACCUCCUCCCCCAACUCCACCC